GAUGAACGCUAGCGGCAGGCCUAAUACAUGCAGGUCGGACGGGAUUCAGGAGCUUGCUUCUGCUGAGAGUGGCGCACGGGUGCGUAACACGUAUGUAACCUACCUUUAUCAGGGGGAUAGCCUCUCGAAAGAGAGAUUAAGCCCGCAUAAAAUCACAGCACAGCAUUGUUUAAUGAUCAAAUAUUUAUAGGAUAAAGAUGGGCAUGCGGAACAUUAGCUAGAUGGCGGGGUAACGGCCCACCAUGGCGACGAUGUUUAGGGGAUCUGAGAGGAUGGCCCCCCACACUGGUACUGAGACACGGACCAGACUCCUACGGGAGGAAGCAGUAAGGAAUAUUGAUCAAGGGGCGGAAGCCUGAACCAGCCAUGCCGCGUGCAGGAAGACGGCCCUACGGGUUGUAAACUGCUUUUAUACGGGAAUAAACCCAGAUACGUGUAUCUGGCUGAAUGUACUGUAAGAAUAAGGAUCGGCUAACUCCGUG
rnacentral:rRNA from 1 species